AUGCAGUCUCCUGAGUGCACAGAAGUCCUAUGUGCACCACUCUCAAUAUCUCCUCUUUUAUGCUCCCACCUCCCUCCUUCUCAUCAACCAUCAGAAGAAGAGCUACUUACAAUGAGUACUAUGCUUUCCAAGUAGUCCGAGGUUUCGCUCCUACUGUUUUGUAUCCCAGUGAUGGUCUCCAGCAAAACCACCCCAAAACUGUAGACAUCAGCCUUUUCUGUUAGCUGGCCAUGAGCCAAGUACUCUGGCGCCAUAUACCCCCUGUGGAUUCACGAACGGUAGAAGCAACAACAAAUGUUAAAUCACUUUUGUUUUGUGUUGUUUAAUUUGAUACUUAUUCCUUGUUAUUCAAGAGAAAUUACGUACAAGGUUCCGGCAAUGGCAGUGCUGAUGUGGCUCACAUCUUCUUCAAAGGAUCUAGCCAAUCCAAAAUCAGCAAUUUUAGCUCGGAACUUUGAGUCAAGCAAGAUGUUACUAGCCUUGAUGUCUCGGUGAAUGAUCUUGGUUUUCGAGUUCUCGUGCAGCGUUUACCAAAAAUGAAGCGGUCGAGGCUCUUGUUGGGAAGGAAUUCAUAGACGAGCAGACUUUCAGUCUGCUGCUCUAUGUUUGUUAUUGAAGAAAAGCCUCUUCACAGCUAUCUCUCUUCCGUCCGACAGAACUCCCUGCAUCAACAUAGACAGAAGAGGAAGGAAGGGAUGGUGAGAUCUCAGUGUUUGAGCUUAUUAAGCUAAUUGCAUGUUUGAAGGUAACAAUAAGAAGACUGGCCUUAUAAACAGUGCCAAAUCCUCCUUGUCCAAGCAUGUUAGCCUCAGCAAAACAUUCUGUUGACUUUUCAAGGGUAGAGUACUUGAAAUUCAAGCUGCUAUUGUUGAGUGUUUUCACCAUCUUGUUUGCAUCAUUUGAACCUUUCAAUACAUAUGGCAAUCAAGUGAACAUCAAGUAGAAAAGAAGAACUUAUUUUCAACAAGUACAAAAGCGCUGUUUUAAAUAUACCUUUUCGUUUCAUCUUUACAUAUCUGUUAUUCCAGAUGUAGAUUCCAAUCACCACACCAGCGACCAAAACAGCAAUCGAGCUUACCACUGAGAUUACAAUUGCUAUAAUGUUACCUGCAGAGAUCGUCCAUAGUAAAUUCAAGCAAGAAGCUAGUAGUGGUGGCGUAUAAUACAACACCAAUUUUCAUUCAUACCUCUGAACCUUGCAGCUCGAGCUUCCCUAUUUAGGAAGUCAACGCUAGAGUAUCUGAUGAAGCAGCCAGUGUUGAGGGCCCUUGCUUCGGAGUGAGGCAAGCAU